GAACAAUAAAGGGCCAUCUGACUGUGGCAUCUGUCACCCCAUUGAUCGCCAGGAUUGAUUUGGCUGCUCUGGCUGGCUAGGUGGCUGUCCCCUUCCUCCAUCAUCACUUCAUGUGUGAAGCUGCACACUUAGUCAGAGGAGGACUGUUCUUUGAUCCAGGUUAUAUGAGUAGCUGUGCUCCCCUCAGAACUCCAAACAAGCUCUCAAGAACAACAAAGCAGGGCUGGGGUUGUAGCUCAGUGCUCGACUCGUAUGUGGAAGGCACUAGGUUCAAUCCUCAGAACCACAUAAAAAUAAAAUAAACAUACUGUGUCCAUCU
ensembl:misc_RNA 7SK 7SK RNA